rnacentral:lncRNA from 1 species
AGAAAAGCCACCCUGGGAGCAAAGCAAGUUAGGGUUGUAAGAGACAUUUCUGAGAUUAAAGCAGCCAGAUCUAUGAUGGGGUGGGUACGGGUGGUUAAAGAGAAAGAGAAUGUGAGAAUGACUCAUGAGACUAUUAAACUGACUUAACUGAAAUUUUAAAAAAGGGGGAAAUACCAACUACGAUGCACCCCCCCACCACACCAUGUUUUAAUGCUACUCAAGGUCUAUGGCUGCGAAAGGCCACUUGUUUUUCUUCAGUUAAUGCUGAGACUGUUUGUCUGCCAGAGACCCUCCAAAACUACAAGAAAAUAAUUUCAAGGAAAUGCCACAUGGAGAGGACAUGCAGGACAAGUGAUGAGAAUAAUCUUGUUCUGAAAAACCCUUGUUCUGAAGACAAGCUUGCUAACAGCUUGGAAACCUGGUUUCCAAACAGCACCUCUGACUGA